rnacentral:lncRNA from 1 species
CGGCACAGAAGCUCCCUGAACGUCAGUUCUCUUUCCUAAAGAGGUCACAGCACUGCCUCCCGCAUAGAGUGUCUCGAGGACUAAAUGAGACUGGGCCCAUGAGAUACUUCUCCUGGCGCCUGGCAAAUAUCCCAAGAGGGGGACGGAGGAAACUGAGGCCAAGAGAGGCCAUGGAACAGGAUGAAACUCCAUCCCCUUUUCCUGUGCCUGUGGCCCAGCCCACCUGCCCAGCCUCCUCUGCAGUGAGGUGCCGGAGCUCCAGCCAUGUCAAACCUGCAAGGCACGGUGGCUGUCCUGGGCGGUCACUCCAUGGCCUCCUCAUAACCCCAUGACAGGCCCACUAUGUGCUGGGCUGGGCUGCCCUCCGCAGUGCUCCCAGGGCCCUGCACCUUCACCUUCUGUCUCUGGCAUGGGCUCGCCUACCUUGGACAAAACUACUUUGCCUCCCUGAGCCUCAGUUUCCCCAUUUGCAUAAUGGGAAUGACCUCAAAGGGUCAAUGUGAGGAUUAGAUGAGAGACAAGAUCAUAACAGGCAAUGGUCCUGUUGAUUAACCCAAAAUAAAUGAAUGCUUG